GUCCAAAGUGUUGAGUUCAGGUCUGGGCUCCUCCCCAGUUCUGGUAAUUAAUCUUUGGUAUAAAGAGGGCUGAACGACCAUCAAAGGCAGUAUUCAUCUUGCUUCCUUACUGUAUUUCAGCCAACAAUU